GGGUUUGUGGCGCAGUUGGGAGCGCGUUAGACUGAAGAUCUAAAGGUCCUGUGUUCGAUCCACGGCGAGCCCA
rfam:Guillardia theta CCMP2712 unplaced genomic scaffold GTITHscaffold_9, whole genome shotgun sequence.